rnacentral:lncRNA from 1 species
AAACGGAAUCAAAAAUCAUUGCUUUGUUGUAAGGAUUGGUAAUCAAUUUUUUCUAUGCGUAUAAUUACAUUUAUAAAAUAUAGAAAUAAUAAGCGAGCGCAAUAUCGAAAUGAAACGAUUCAUUUAUUACUUUGGGUUGCUUUCAGACUCGCCAAUAAAAUCGCCAAUGUGGGAAUCGUGCUGUGAACUUUGGCAAAUCGAUCACGAAGUCCUAUCACUUAGAAACAAGCGAUGUUCUUUCUCGUAUACUCGCCGUGGGGUUCGUACAACUAAUUAGCAUGCUAAUUAAGCGGCACCGAAGAUUUUACAGACUCCACGGAGAGGGAGAGAGGGAGAGAGGGAGAGAGGGAGAGAGAAAGGAGUUCCAGGGUGAUAUUCUUUACUCUUUCUUUCCCCUCUUUCUCUUCCCUCUUUUAACCUAAGGCUUACUUCGACUUUCUCUUCCUCGUCAUAAUCUCGAGUUGAUGAUAAUCCUGUACAAAGAUAAAAAUGGAUUUUAACAAUUAUCGAUCUUUCAAUAUUAUCUUGGAAAGGAAAAAAGAGAACGAACGAACGAAGAGAAACUUGCCAAAUGAAAAUGGACGAUCGAAGAAUAAAAUAAAAAAAUAAAAACCAUUGAAACGCAAGUUGGAUACUUGAAAAAGUCCGCAUUAUAUAAAACCGCUGAAUUUAUAUUCUUUCGAAUGAUAGCACUCGAUUGUCCUUCUUUGACCAUAAACGUUCAUGGUGCUACUUCGAAUUUCAUAAUGUCAUGGCAAAGAAGAAUGCCGGAAUGUCUCCGGAGUCACGGAAUUAAGUGUUAAACGUUUGCAACUUUCUAACGCUAAUGGGGGCCUCCUCGAACCACCGACGACAUUACUUUUUCUUUCGAGAUGAUGACUUAAUUAGCAGACGGAUAAUUAUUUCUCUUCUCUUUCUCAGCCGAUAGACGAUACUUUUUCUCUACCCUUUCGGCGAGGAUAAUGAGAAUAAUUACGGUUAUUAGGGAUUAGAUUUAUGACCGAGGAACCUACAUUUGUGAAAGCUACAAUUUGUGAAAGCUAAAAUCUCCCCCCCCCCUCUCUCUCUCAUACUCGUACAAAAGUCAACGAAUAUUUAUAAUUAUUCCAAAUUCAUUCGAAUGAAUUUGAUCGGUUAAAUUAAUGCUUUUAUUAUUUAUUAUUAAUAGAUUCAUCGAAAUACCCGUUUGAAAGAUUUUGUUAAGUUGAACAAACUGAUUCGCUUAAUUUAUAUAAUAAGUCUCGUUAUGUUAAUUUCGUAAUUUUGGAAUAGUUCUACGAAGGUUUUAACAUAAAUGCCAAUUUCAGACUCGAAAAUCUUCCUUCCCAUUCUUACACCCAGCGAAGAAGAAAAAAGAAAUUAAUUCGAGAGUUUAAAAGCAUCAACGACUUUCCCGUUCCCACGCCUCUUGGUUGGUACCACCAUGACCUCGACACGCGAACCCUAAGAUCCUCGAAAAGUUUCAGUAACGGUCAGGGCUAACAGUCGAUGAUAAUUAACUUCUUCGUAUCGAUUUUUGGAUCGGAACAAAUUUUAUAUGAAAUUCAAACGGAUUAAAGGUAAAAUAACAAUUUUCAUUUGCCAACCGCAACGACUGCAAUUUCAUAUUUCCAAAUAUUUUGUCGGCUUGCAAAUGUUGCAAGAUGAUAAAGAAAUGAUACGAAAAGGUAUGGAAAAGAAAAUAUUAGAGAAAUUUGAAGAUUAUCCUCUUAGCUAGCUCGGCAAGCUAUUAAGGGCACACGAAGAGCGUUAAGGAGACUCGAAGAGAAGAUGGCUUAUGCAGAUUCCUCGUAUUAAUAACUACCAUCUCCAGUCUUAUGCCUAAGACAAGCCGCAAAGUCAAGAUCACAGAGGUUAAGGCGUGUUCAACAAGCUGCUCAUGGCUACCACUUAAAGGGCCGCCCCCAGUCGUAUGCAUACGGAAGUGCAACGUAACUUCUUCUAUCUUCUUCUUCUUCUUCAUUUACCAUAGUUAAAUUUGCUAACUCGUUCGGAUCGUCCAAUUUUCCAAAUCCCGUCGAUCUAAUCGAAAUGACGACAUCGAUAUCGGAAUCGAGCCAACGAACGUUACUUCGAAUUAUUCCAACGAUAAUUAUUUUCAUCUAAUUUUGCUUAUCUAUAAAAGUUCAAAAGUUCAGUCGGUGUUACGAAUUUGAAGGUAAAAAAGGAGAUAAAAGUAAAGUCUAUAAAUCAUCUCUCAAUGUUCUUUUACUCCGAGCUCAACGUUAAAAGGUACAAUGCACGAUCUGUAAAAGGUAUUCGCGAAGUCAAGAGUGAUAUAUCGCCGUGAGAGUUCUACCAUUGUUUGCGAGUAAGUUCAUAACCAUGAGGGUGAAAGAGAAAGAGAGAGAGAGAGAGAGAGAGACGAGACCCCGCUUCGACUAACAGCUUCCUCGUAUCAAUAUGAUCACUUUUGUGAUUAUAUAAUUAACAAGUAUUAUAUAUAGAAUUUCUAAUGACAAUGAUUAAACGUUUUCGACUUACCGUUUGGAGCUUGUCUGCAAAGUCUGGCGAACAUCCUUUUGAUUUAUCAACGAACGUUCACCUGUAACAAAGCAACGACAAAAAAUAUUACCAAAAAAUAAGAUCAAAUAAUUAUGCGAUAGUUUAUAAUUUUAUUAUACCUAAUUGAAUGUAAGAUAUGCGAGAGUAUGAAAAGAUUUAAAACGAGGAAGCGUAGAUACUCGAUCAAAGUUUUGCGUCGGCUAUAAUUAUUCCGGAUGUGUUGGGACGUUAAUUAGUAACGUUAAUUACGCGAAACGACUUUCAGCGAAUACUAUCCCAAUGAUUCACCCCCCAUGGCCAUGACUAUUCGGUUUAUCCUAUUUGUCCCGCAUAAAUAGAAAGAUUUCGAGAUCGAUAAAAGAGAAAGAGAGAAGGAGGAGGAGGGGGGGGGCAGCAGCACAUGCAAAUCUUUAGUUCAAAGUUUAUAAGAUUUAAUUAACUAUAGGAUUAACGGUUUCGAACUUUAAUAAAACCGGUUCUCGUAUUUUAAUUGACUUCAUUCGGAGACUCCAUAAAUUCAUCAGAUUUCGUGGAUAUACUUUCGUACGCGCGAAUGAAUUUCUUUUAUUUUCUUUCUCUUUUUCUUUUUUUCCGACAAAUAUCUGCAAUCUUUCUUAAUUAGCGCUAAUUACGAUAUCUUUCGCGUACCAUGCGAGAAAAUAUCUCAAGGGCGACAGAAAUCUAAUUGUGAGAUAUAAAUUUGUUGAUAAAAAAUUAAUCGAACGGGAAAAACAAAUAUAUGAAAAUAUCGUUGGGGAAUUUUCAAUGUAAUUCAUUAACAAAGCCAAUAAUAAAAAGGAAAUAAUAAAUAAUUGAUCGAGCCAACCGAAGCGCAAAUAAUUAUAGCAAUCGCGAUGGAAAUUUUUCCAAGGAACUUGGUAAAUAUUCGAGCGUUGUCGGGAAUCGCCGUACACGUAAGAAAAGAAGAAAAUGAACGGAUACCGGAAAGUCGGGUAUAACUCGCUCGAUCGAUUCUCGC